rnacentral:lncRNA from 1 species
CAUUUACAAUCUUUCUAAUAAUAGAGAAGUCGCUGCAGUCUUUUUCCUGUUCAUUUCCUAUGAAUAACUGUUACUGCGCUGCGAUUUAAAAUGAAAAGUGAAUCUAGAGCAUUGCAUAAAAUGCUGGGAAACAUCAAUACAUUUUCUUUCAAAAAACAGUGUCGCAAUAAUUUCAAUCAAGAACAUGGCAGUCAAUAUAAGUCUUAUCAGAAUCCCGAACAAUUAAAACCAAAUUGGAAAGUAGAAACGGAUGUACAGACAGGACUGUCAUACUUCACUCCCUCCGAUUCCAGUAUUAUCGUAGACUCUUCUAAAUUAUCUCGUAAACAUUCUCUAGUUUCUCGUUGAAUGGUGUAAUCGAUAGCUUUCAGGAUCCGCAAUGCGUGAGGCUUCUUCAAAUGUAUAAAAAAACUAUUGAACAAAUGUGACUUAAAGUUAUAUACAGUAAUAUUUUAUAUAAGUGUCGCUAUAAUAAAUAAUUUUUCGUACAAAUUUAAAAUUUUUCAGACUACAAAAUUAAUUUAAAGUAUUAUCACUUGUACUCUUAAAAGUUGAUAAAUGAAUUUAUUAUUAAAUAAAAUUGUCUUAAGAUUAAAUAUACAAUAGUUCAUUUCAUACAAUUCAAAUGUAAUAUAUUUAAUUACAGUUACA